CUGGGAAGUAUUGGAUCUUUGGGGGUAUUUCUUUUUGGAAGUAUUCUUCAUUGCCUGUGUUUCUGUUUCACUUCUAGCGGUGGUUUUGCUGUACUUGGUGGAUUACACUCGAGGAGGUAGCCUUAAUUGUUCUGCCAGACAGAGGGUGGAGCUGUCAAAGAUGACUGACACCAAAUGAAUUUGAAGAGCAGUCGUCACCAGAGAGGCAGCUGCCAUCCUGUGCUUGGGAGAGCCGGACACUGGGGAAGGAGGGAUGGUCUGGAAGGUGGAAAGUGGCCUUUUGGAAGGGGCCUUCUAGCGUGUGUUUAACAGCUUCUUUCCAGAGUUCUUUUCUCCAAGUAUAUUUCUGUAAGAUUGUACAUUAUCUUAGAUCAUGUCUUUUGUAUGGUUUGCUGCAAAGGGGUCACCUUUACCUGCUUGCUAAUAAUUUAUUUAGUGUCCAAGUCUGGCCAAAUGCUCUGGAAAGCCUUGCUGCACUUUGCCAGGGUCAGUCAAUGAAAGGGCACAAGACGGCCUCUGCUGAGGGGCUUUUUACUAGGUCAUCUCAUUUUUGUAUUUUCCGGAUCUGGACAUUUGAGUAGGUUAUCCUUUUUUAAACCCAAAACAAACAACCCAGCAGCCCCCAGCCAACCAAAAGAACCUUGGAGUUUUACCUCAAAUAAAAUGGAGUGUAAGCGGAAA